rnacentral:rRNA from 1 species
UGGGGAAUUUUGGACAAUGGGCGAAAGCCUGAUCCAGCAAUGCCGCGUGUGUGAAGAAGGCCUUCGGGUUGUAAAGCACUUUUGUCCGGAAAGAAAUCCUUGGCUCUAAUACAGUCGGGGGAUGACGGUACCGGAAGAAUAAGCACCGGCUAACUACGUGCCAGCAGCCGCGGUAAUACGUAGGGUGCAAGCGUUAAUCGGAAUUACUGGGCGUAAAGCGUGCGCAGGCGGUUUGCUAAGACCGAUGUGAAAUCCCCGGGCUCAACCUGGGAACUGCAUUGGUGACUGGCAGGCUAGAGUAUGGCAGAGGGGGGUAGAAUUCCACGUGUAGCAGUGAAAUGCGUAGAGAUGUGGAGGAAUACCGAUGGCGAAGGCAGCCCCCUGGGCCAAUACUGACGCUCAUGCACGAAAGCGUGGGGAGCAAACAGGAUUAGAUACCCUGGUAGUCCACGCCCUAAACGAUGUCAACUAGUUGUUGGGGACUUCAUUUCCUUAGUAACGUAGCUAACGCGUGAAGUUGACCGCCUGGGGAGUACGGUCGCAAGAUUAAAACUCAAAGGAA